rnacentral:misc_RNA from 1 species
AUUUUCACAAAAAAUCAAAAAAAAAACCAAACCAAACCGAACCGAAAUAUAUAUAUAUAUAUAUAUCAAAAAGUAUGAUUGAUCAACUUAGGCAAUAAAGAAGUUAACAUCCUAAGUUAAUGACUAAAAUUGCCCCUCAUAUCCUUUUGGACAAAUAACUGCAGCUUUAUUUUGAUGGGUGUAUUUAUGUUUACAGGUGCAUUAUAGACCAACUAUUUUUCCAGUCAUCAUGCAGAGUUUUUCACAAUUCAUCCAUGGGUGGUUGUUGAUAAAUAAAAAUUUUGUUAUAAAUUGUGUUUGAAACUAAUCAAUCAAUCAAUCAUUCUUCGCUUGCAGG